rnacentral:rRNA from 1 species
AGGACGAACGCUGGCGGCGUGCUUAACACAUGCAAGUCGAGCGGAAAGGCCUUUCGGGGUACUCGAGCGGCGAACGGGUGAGUAACACGUGAGUAAUCUGCCCAUCGCUUCAGGAUAGCCAUCGGAAACGGUGAUUAAUACUGGAUAUGACAUUCCUUCGCAUGUUGGGGUGUGGAAAGUUUUUUCGGCGGUGGAUGUGCUCGCGGCCUAUCAGCUUGUUGGUGGGUAAUGGCCUACCAAGGCUUUGACGGGUAGCCGGCCUGAGAGGGUGACCGGCCAACGACGUGGGACUGAGACACGGCCCAGACUCCGUACGGGAGCAGCAGUGGGAAUAUUGGACAAGUGGGCGAAGCCUGAUCCAGCAACGCCGCGUGAGGAUGACGGCUUCGGGUUGUAACCUCGUUUCAGCACAGACGUAGUUUUGUCGUUUUUGGUGUAGUGACGUAGUGU